rnacentral:rRNA from 1 species
UACGUAGGGGGCGAGCGUUGUCCGGAAUCAUUGGGCGUAAGGCGCGUGUAGGCGGCUCGGUAAGUCCGGUGUGAAACCUUGGGGCUCAACCCCAAGCCUGCACUGGAUACUGUCGAGCUUGAGUCCGGGAGGGGAGAGCGGAAUUCCUAGUGUAGCGGUGAAAUGCGCAGAUAUUAGGAAGAACACCGGUGGCGAAGGCGGCUCUCUGGAACGGUACUGACGCUGAGACGCGAAAGCGUGGGGAGCGAACAGG